rnacentral:rRNA from 1 species
CCCUUAGAUGUUCUGGGCCGCACGCGCGCUACACUGAUGAAUGCAACGAGCUCUACCCUUGACCGAAAGGCCCGGGUAAACUUGUGAAACUUCAUCGUGAUGGGGAUAGAUUAUUGCAAUUAUUAAUCUUCAACGAGGAAUUCCUAGUAAGCGCGAGUCAUCAGCUCGCGUUGAUUGCGUCCCUGCCCUUUGUACACACCGCCCGUCGCUCCUACCGAUUGAAUGGUCCGGUGAAAUCUUCGGAUUGCUGACCAAGAUCCAGCAAUGGAGCUUGGUUGCGAGAAGUUGAUUAAACCUUAUUAUUUAGAGGAAGGAGGAGUCGUAACA